GGUCAGAGGGGAGAGCACAUACUCAUCUAAGGCUUAAGAUCUCUCUCUUUCUCUCUCCUCCUCUUCCUAUCUCCCUCUCUUUUCUCUCUCUAUUCGACGAAGGGCUCUAGGGUUUGAGGCGCGUUUCAACGGCUCUGCAACGAGAUCGAGGUUUUGAAUUGGGUUCCUGCGAAGCAGUUCUAGGGUUUUGUUUUACCAAGCGCAUUCUAUUGGUCGUCACGCCCAUUCAUUUUAGCUUCGGCUUUGGCCCAUCCAUCGCGAUCUAGGGUUUUCAACCUGGGGGUUUAUAUAGAGAGAGACCCAGUUUAGGUUUUGCUCGUGUUGAAAAUUUGGGAAAAGUCCAAUUUACAUGGGAAAUUGUCGAAAUUUCGUCAGAAAGCCUCGUGUCCAUAUUCAUUUUGUUAGGGAAAGGAGGUUAUAGUAUUAGUAAGUGGGCCCGGCAUCGGUGUGAUGUCGGAAUUUUUGCAGGAUUCGUCCCGGGUUUCUAGGAAUUCGAGGCGGGUCCUCCUGUCAGUUCCACUGUUGUGAAUCCACAUCCCUUGGGUUUGCCUAAGUCAUUCAAGUGACUACAAUUUAAAUCGUUUAAAGCAAAAGCAGAGUAAUUAUAGUCUCUCCUCCAGAAAAAGAAGGAAAAUACAAAUUUUUGUGACUGACUCACUCAUUGAUUACGCUAUUCUCCAUGUUCGACCAAAAAAAAAGAAAGACUGAUUACACUAACUCUUCAUUCUUCCCUACCUUUUUUUUUUUCAUUUUUAAAAUUCUUCCAUGUCUUAACCUCUAAAUAUCUCAUGAAGCAAAGCUUCUCAAGAAUUCCACCUUCUUCAGCCCCCUUCGUCGCACUAGCACCGUUUCCUCCUUCAUAACCAGCAACUCCACCAUCCGGCUUCUCAUUAUUAGGACCACUGCCACCUUCAGAAUGCUUCCCAUUAUGACCGCCGCCUCCAUCGUUAGCUCCUUCACGGCUGGGUUUCAAGACACCUCCAUUCUCACGACCAUUACCAUUCUCGAGUUUCUUAGCAUGCUCUGUCCUCGCCUCCGGGGCUGGAGCGGCUCUUGAUGACGGGAACAUUAGGCACCUUUGGUGGAGUCGUUGGUCUUAGUUUCAGUUCGGUGCUCAAGUUUGGCUGAACCCGCUUCUCUACCAAUCUUUUACACUCUUGAAGGGUCCGCUGUUCAACUGCUGUGAAUCCACAUCCCUUGGGUCUGCUCCACUUGGCAUCUUCGUUUUCAGUAAUUGCAAGGAGUGUUUCCUUGAGUUCUCUCUUGAAAAAGGAUCGGAAAAGUCCUAAGGCAGUGAUGCUGGAGUUGAAUGUGGGGACAAUCCUCUCUUUAUCCAUACCACCAUUAAUAUGGUUCUCACCGGAGCUAUCAGUCUCAUUGGAGCUGCUCACGAUAUUGACAUCGAUCCUUUUGAGAUCAACCGGAUUCAUUUUAUCAAGUAUUACGCCGACUUGUUGGUAUGGAUCCGGCUGAUCUCAAAAGGAUCGGUGUCGGUAUUGUGAGCUGUUCCAAUGAGACCGAUAGCUCUAGUGAGAACCAUGUCAAUGGUGGUAUGGAUAAAGAGAGGAUUGUGCCCACAUUCAACUCCGGCAUCACUGCCUUAGGACUUUUCCGAUCCUUUUCAAGAGAGAACUCAAGGAAACACUGCUUGCAAUUGCUGAAAACGAAGAUGCUAAGUGGAGCAGACCCAAGGGAUGUGGAUUCACAGCAGUGGAAUAGCGGACCCUUCAAGAGUGUAAACGAUUGUUAGAGGAGCGGGUUUAGCCAGACUUGAGCACCGAAUUGGGACCAAGAUCAACGACUCCACCAAAGGUGCCUCAUGUUCCCGUCAUCAAGUGCCGCUCCAGCCCCGGAGGCGAGGACAAAGAGCAUGCUAAGAAACUCGAGAAUGGUAAUGGUCGUGAGAAUGGAGGUGUUGUGAAACCCAGCCGUGAAGGAGCUAACGGUGGCGGCGGCGGUCAUAAUGGGAAGCAUUCUGAAGGUGGCAGUGGUCCUAGUGAUGGGAAGCCGGAUGGUGGAGUUGUUGGUGAUGAAGGAGGAGAUGGUGCUGGUGCGAUUGAGGGGGCUGGGAGAAGGUGGAAUUCUUGAGAAGCUUUGCUUCAUGAGAUAUUUGGAGGUUUAAGACAUGGAAGAAUUUUAAAAAUGAAAAAAAAAGAGGUUAGGAAGAAUGAAGAGUUAGUGUAAUCGGUCUUUUUUUUAUUUUUUGUCGAACAUGGAGAAUAGUGUAAUCAAUAAGUCAGUCACAAAAAUUUGUAUUUUCCCUUCUUUUUCUGGAGGAGAGACUAUAAUUACACUCUGCUUUUGCUUUAAAUGAUUUAAAUUGUAGUCACUGGAAUGACUUAGGCAUCAACCGAACCAAACCGCGGAUUAUAGCAAUACAGCAUCGGGGAAGCUCUUUCUGUCGGCGACUGCGCUCAUCAGCGGCGGCGACUGGUCACCUCCAACGACCCUGCCAUGACUCUACACAACCGUUAACCUAGGCCUUAUUCGAGAUGCCAUGACAUCGCCUUCGGUACUCUCACUUCUGACAGGUUCACGGUUAGUGAAACUUUUGCAGAAAUGAUGUUCAAACACGGGUUUGUGCAUUGUGACCCACAUGCUGCCAACUUGUUAGUCCGACCUCUGCCUUAUAGCCUUAUAGCGGCAAGAGCAUUCUAGUUGGUGGAUAUUGUGCCCGUUGCGCUUUCUUUUAUUAUGUGGAACAUUAUGUAGGCCAUGCCCAACUCAAAUAGUUUUUCCCCACCUUCUCAUGUACAGGCAAGAAAAAAAACACAGUUUAGACUUCUAGACCUGGUAUGUAUAAGGAUCUUGACUUUGAGACCAGAACUAACUAAGCUAAACUGUGGAAGGUACACCAUUGCGUUUCUUGGAAUGGUUUUCCUCCAUAUUUUAGCAACUUACUUUGUUGUGCUCUCUAUGUUGUUAUGAUUGUUGCAGGCUUUGAUUUUUGCUGAUGCCAAAGCAAUAGAAAAAAAUAGUGCAAAAUUAGGGUGCUGGAGAGGAUUUGUAUCCAUUAUUUGCAGGGAUUCUUAGUAUGAGACCUUGGAAUAUGGUCAUUGACCCAGCUUUUGAUCAUUUGGUUAUACAGGGCAGCAGAAGUGGCAGUUCAGAACUGCAGAUUAUGAGUAUUCACUAUGGGGACUGCCUGAGGGAAGCAGUGAGAGGGCAAAAGCUAAGCAUGAAGUUCAGGUCUGCACGUAAGCUUCAAGAAUUAUGUUUCAGCAAUGGAGGCGUAUAUAUAUCAGGCUCGGUCAGCACCUUGGACGGCUGGU